rnacentral:rRNA from 1 species
UACGGGGGGGGCAAGCGUUGUUCGGAAUUACUGGGCGUAAAGGGCUCGUAGGCGGCCAACUAAGUCAGACGUGAAAUCCCUAGGCUCAACCUAGGAACUGCGUCUGAUACUGGAUGGCUUGAAUCCGGGAGAGGGAUGCAGAAUUCCAGGUGUAGCGGUGAAAUGCGUAGAUAUCUGGAGGAAUACCGGUGGCGAAGGCGGCAUCCUGGACCGGCAUUGACGCUGAGGAGCGAAAGCCAGGGGAGCAAACAGG